rnacentral:lncRNA from 1 species
UCCCACCUCAGCCUGCCAAGUAGCUAGGACUACAGGUGUGUGCCACCAUGCCCAGCUGUUUUUUAAAAUUUUUUGUGGAGAUGUGAACUCACUAAGCUUCCGAGGCUUUUCUUGAACUCCUGACUUCAAGUAAUCCUCCCACCUUGGCUUGUCAAAGUCCUGGGAUUACAGGUGUGAGCUCCUGCUCCUGGUCAAGAAUUUAGUUUUGUUUGCUAGUGGUGUUCUUGGUAUCUUUUCAUAUUUGAGGCUUUGGUGCUAGUGCUGAAGUAUUACACUCACCAUCCAAGGUUCACAGGACUUUUGUUUUAAUAUGGAACAGAUGGAACUGUUUAGUUCUGCAUCUUUGCAGGUAUGCAAAAUGUGCCUACCAGGACUCUGCUUCAUAUCCAUGGAAAGCAAGAAGUAAUACAGUAAAACUUUGUCUGGCUAGAGGCUUUGAAGGAAUGGAGUGUUCUGGUUGAAUUCUAUUAACUUGGAAGUAUGAAGGUGAAAAAAAUUCAGAACUUAAAUUUCCUUUGAAUGCAAUUUGAAAAUAUAGCCAAUAAUUCCACUUUUCUUCUCUAGUAAGUUUGGACAUUCUGAUCUACUUGGUGUUUUAUGAUAGAACCCCUAGUGUGCCUGAGACUUACUUUGUGAAGAUACUUUUUUAAAACUUUAGCUGUACAGGCAUUCUCAGCUGCCUUCAUAAGGCGAUGUGCAUUGUGAAUCUCUAAGUGGAAAUAUGGAAUGCAGUGUUUUCCAGGGGAUGGUCUCGAUCUCCUGACCUCGUGAUCCACCUGCCUCGGCCUCCCAAAGUGCUGGGAUUACAUGUGUGAGCCACCACACCCGGCCCCAUUUUUAAUACGUUUUUUAAAGAUGCAUAUAAAAUGCAUUACCCUCUGGAAGAUUCCAGUAACUUACUGAAGCAAGUUUCUCCUCUACAUAUACCUAUUUCUGCCAUGAGUAACUGUUCAUUUUCAGUGAGUCAUUUGAGUUUCUGUUAUUCAGGUAUACAGAGUUCCUGUUGUCUUUUUAGUCAACAAAGUUUAACAAAGACCAUAAUAAAGAUGGCUUUCAGCAGCUCUGUUAUUGGGAAGGGUUGUAUUCAUGUGAAGAAAGAAAUUAUUUUAUUUUAUUUUUAAGUUUUAGUAGAGGGGGGGUUUUGCUAUGUUGGUUAGGCUGGUCUCGAACUCCCAUCCUCAAGUGAUCCACCUGCCUCGGUCUCUCAAAGUGCUGGGAUUACGGGCAUGAGCCACUGUGCCUGGACAGUAAUAAUAUUUUUUAAAAGGCUGACAUCAGCAGAUCAGCUAUUCUGGAAAGAUUUUUAAACACUCAGAGGUUUUUUUGUGUUUGUUUGUUUUCUUUUCUUUUCUUUUUUAGAGGCAGGGUCUUGCUCUGUCGCCCAGGCUAAGGUGGAGUGGUGCAAUCAUAGCUCACUACAGCCUCAAACUCCUGGGCUCAAACAAUCCUCACACCUUUCAUACCUUAGGCCCCUGAGUAGCUGGGUGGGACUACAGGCAUGCAUCACCAUGCUUGGCUAAUUUUUAAUUUUGUAUAGGUGGGGUCUUGCCAUUUGCCCAGGCUGGUGUCAAACUCCUCAAGUAAUCCUUCUGCCUCGGCCUCCUAAAGUGCCAGGAUUAUAGGCCUGAGCCACUACACACAGCCCGGAGUUUUUAAAAAAUACUCAAUUAAAAUGCUUCAUUUAAGUGUAUGUCUCUAAGAAAAUUUAAUAAUUGAUUAAAUAUUGUUGAAUAGACUGAAAGCACAACAUCCAAGCACAUGAAUUAAGCAAAUAAUGCAAGCAUAGCUCCCACACUCCACAAAUGUUUUCUAGUCAUUCCAAAGCCAUUCUUUUUAGAGGAUCUUUAAGAAAAUGCUUGGCUCUCAUCCGAUUAUUAUACAAGAGAUUAAGAAUUUACUGAGUUUACAGUUCUUUCUAUGAAGGAAAGAAUGAGGUCUACACCCAAAAGAAACAUUGGGAUUUUCAUUUAAGUAAAGCUGUAUUCUCAUUUAAAAUGGUACUAGUGCUCUUGUUGGCAACAGACACAUGAAGCAAAAUUUUCCUUUUACAUUUGAAUUUCAACUGCAUUUAAAGUGUUAUAAAUACCAUGACUACAUAAGCUAAGGGAAUGAAUGUAUUAACUCUGAUGCAGUCUGUCAGGUUUUAACAGUAGUGAAUCUUGGGAUCGGUACAUCUCAUUCCAGUAUAGCUAUGGUAAAUGACAUAGAGAUCGCUGAAUUGUUGUAUUUCCAGGACUUUUCAAAAGUGACUAUUAAGGUUGGCUGUGGGAUCUAGCAGGUUAUUGUCCUAGAACACUUGUGGCCUUCUCCUAAAACAGACUGGGAAAAUUCUGGUUCUUUAUUCACUGACAUCUCAAAGGGCAAAGAGGGAGGCACCAUGACAUUCUGCAGUUGCAGGCCUCUCAGGAUGAGACUGUAUUUUUCCAUACAGCAAUGUUGAUUUGAUCUGGCCUAAUUCUCCGAUUGAUGUGGUGAGAGGCAGGACUACUUGGGAAUGUAUUCACUGUGCCUGAUUUCUCUCUGGGCAAUUUAUUUGGUCAUCAAUCUUUUUAUCCUCCUGACAUUUGAUUUCUAGAUAUUGGCCCAAAUUCCAUAAGAUAGGAAUUUUUGUUCUGAAUUUUAAUAACAUAUGUAUUUUAAUUAAUAGUAUAUUUUAAAAUAAAAGUAACACGACAAAAAGAAAAAACAAAGACAAAAAAGUAACCUAAGAAUAUAUGCUCAAAAGUGCCAAAAAUACAAAAGACUACAGAAUUUUUAAAAUAGAAGCUUUUUGUUCAACUUGCUGCUCUUCUUCCCACUUCUUCAAUUCCAUUUCUUUUCCUAUAGGUGAUCAUGGCUAACAUUUUGGUGUUUGUCUUUCCAAAGUGUAUAGUUAUAGAUCUGAAUAGAAAUGUAGAUACAGAGAUAUCAAAGAUGAGCAUGGGCUAAGCACUCAACAAUAAACUACGUUGGGUCUAUUUUUCAAAGUUACUCUCAAAACAAGAAUACAGAUUGUCCAUUAAACAUACUGGAAUUUUAAUACAUUCUUUUUUUUCCCCCAGAACAUUUCUGAUUUCAUAUAUUCUGGCAUGUUUCCUGCCAUGUGGCAAACCAUAAGCUGAAAGAGAUAUAAAUAUAAAUAACACUAUGUCUAACAAAAUUUGCUCAGAAUAUGCUAAAGCAUUAG